rnacentral:piRNA from 1 species
GAAAUCGAAACUAUGGCAUGCGCG